rnacentral:tRNA from 1 species
GGGGAUGUGGCUCAGUGAUAGAGUAAUGCCUGGCAUGCACGAGGCCCUGGGUUUGAUCCCCAGCACCACAA